GUAGUUAGCCGGGGCUUCCUCCUUGGCUACCGUCACUUUCUUCGUCACCAAGGACAGAGGUUUACAACCCGAAAGCCUUCUUCCCUCACGCGGCGUUGCUGGGUCAGGCUUGCGCCCAUUGCCCAAUAUUCCCCACUGCUGCCUCCCGUAGGAGUCUGGACCGUGUCUCAGUUCCAGUGUGGCCGAUCAGCCUCUCAGCUCGGCUACCCAUCGUUGGCUAGGUGACGCGUUACCCCGCCUACUACCUAAUGGGACGCGAACCCCUCCUUCAUCGAAUUGCUCCUUUUACCUCUCUGCCAUGCGACAGUGUGGUCUUAUGCGGUAUUAGCAGUAAUUUCUCACUGUUAUCCCCCUUUGAAGGACAGGUUGCUCACGCGUUACUCACCCGUUCGCCACUAACUUAAAAAAGCAAGCUCUCUUAAGUCCGUUCGACUUGCAUGUGUUAGGCACGCCGCCAGCGUUCGUCCUCGUAGCCAGGAGUCAAACUACUGA
rnacentral:rRNA from 1 species